rnacentral:rRNA from 1 species
GACGUAGGGAGCGAGCGUUGUCCGGAUUCAUUGGGCGUAAAGCGCGCGUAGGCGGUUUGGUAAGUCGGAUGUGAAAUCCCGAGGCUCAACCUCGGGACUGCAUCCGAUACUGCCCGACUAGAGGUAGGUAGGGGUGAUCGGAAUUCCUGGUGUAGCGGUGAAAUGCGCAGAUAUCAGGAGGAACACCGGUGGCGAAGGCGGAUCUCUGGGCCUUAACUGACGCUGAGGCGCGAAAGCUAGGGGAGCGAACAGG